UGUCGAUAGCCUAUGGCCUUGGCGGGGGGUGUUCCCGAAUACAGUCCUUUUUAAGUUGUUCUAAACGAGGAUACGUAUUGAUUGAUCUCACGAAGACUGGAUUGGCGAUCAAUUCACAGAUUGAAUGGGCAGGUGUUGGGUGGCGUGCCUAUUGUGAUAUAAUACAAAGGUCAUCGUUAAGAUUUGAAGGUAGAGGUGAUGGCAAUUGUGGUGGCUGUGUUGCUAAUGGUAAUAUUAAACUAGAUCGAGAUCCAGCUGAAAUUCCAUUGGAAAUGCUAUCUGACGUUACACAACCAGAAUGUUAACAACAAAAUGUAAUCGACUUAAUAUCGACAACUCAGCUAUAA